GAUGAACGCUGGCGGCGUGCCUAACACAUGCAAGUCGAACGGAGUGUUGCGCUGAAAUUGAGAUUAGCUUGCUAAAGGAUAUUUCUUGUAACACUUAGUGGCGGACGGGUGAGUAACGCGUGAGUAACCUGCCUUACAGAGGGGGACAACAGUUGGAAACGACUGCUAAUACCGCAUAACGUAUCAACGGGGCAUCCCGAGGAUACCAAAGGAGCAAUCCGCUGUAAGAUGGACUCGCGUCCGAGUAGCCAGUUGGCGGGGUAACGGCCCACCAAAGCAACGAUCGGUAGCCGGACUGAGAGGUUGAACGGCCACAUUGGGACUGAGACACGGCCCAGACUCCUACGGGAGGCAGCAGUGGGGGAUAUUGCACAAUGGAGGAAACUCUGAUGCAGCAACGCCGCGUGAGGGAAGAAGGUCUUCGGAUUGUAAACCUUUGUUUUUAGUGACGAAAAAAAUGACGGUAGCUAAAGAGGAAGCCACGGCUAACUACGUGCCAGCCGCCGCGGUAA
rnacentral:rRNA from 1 species